CACGGAGCUUGCUCUGGUGGCGAGUGGCGAACGGGUGAGUAAUAUAUCGGAACGUACCCUGGAGUGGGGGAUAACGUAGCGAAAGUUACGCUAAUACCGCAUACGAUCUAAGGAUGAAAGUGGGGGAUCGCAAGACCUCAUGCUCGUGGAGCGGCCGAUAUCUGAUUAGCUAGUUGGUAGGGUAAAAGCCUACCAAGGCAUCGAUCAGUAGCUGGUCUGAGAGGACGACCAGCCACACUGGAACUGAGACACGGUCCAGACUCCUACGGGAGGCAGCAGUGGGGAAUUUUGGACAAUGGGCGAAAGCCUGAUCCAGCAAUGCCGCGUGAGUGAAGAAGGCCUUCGGGUUGUAAAGCUCUUUUGUCAGGGAAGAAACGGUUCGAUCUAAUACAUUGGACUAAUGACGGUACCUGAAGAAUAAGCACCGGCUAACUACGUGCCAGCAGCCGCGGUAAUACGUAGGGUGCAAGCGUUAAUCGGAAUUACUGGGCGUAAAGCGUGCGCAGGCGGUUAUGUAAGACAGAUGUGAAAUGCCCGGGCUUAACCUGGGAACUGCAUUUGUGACUGCAUGGCUAGAGUUUGGCAGAGGGGGGUAGAAUUCCACGUGUAGCAGUGAAAUGCGUAGAUAUGUGGAGGAACACCGAUGGCGAAGGCAGCCCCCUGGGUCAAGACUGACGCUCAUGCACGAAAGCGUGGGGAGCAAACAGGAUUAGAUACCCUGGUAGUCCACGCCCUAAACGAUGUCUACUAGUUGUCGGGUCUUAAUUGACUUGGUAACGCAGCUAACGCGUGAAGUAGACCGCCUGGGGAGUACGGUCGCAAGAUU
rnacentral:rRNA from 1 species